rnacentral:rRNA from 1 species
GACGAACCGUGCGAACGUUAUUCGGAAUCACUGGGCUUAAAGCGCGUGUAGGCGGCCCGGCGCGUCGGAUGCUGAAAUCCCCCGGCUCAACCGGGGAAGGGGCGCCGAUACGGCCGGGCUGGAGGGGGGUAGGGGGCGCUGGAACUCACGGUGGAGCGGUGAAAUGCGUUGAGAUCGUGUGGAACGCCCGCGGCGAAAGCGAGCGCCUGGACCCUUUCUGACGCUGAGACGCGAAAGCCAGGGGAGCGAACGGG